GCACUGGGGGUUGUAGGACUGCAAUGUGCAAGAGGUGAGUUUAGCAGAACAUUCUGGAAAGUAUAGCCAUAGAGGGUGAUAGUCCCGUAUGCGAAAAACAAACCUUAGCUAGCAGUAUCCUGAGUAGGGCGGGACACGAGGAAUCCUGUCUGAAUCCGGGUCGACCACGAUCCAACCCUAAAUACUAAUACCAGAUCGAUAGUGCACAAGUACCGUGAGGGAAAGGUGAAAAGAACUGAGGUGAUCAGAGUGAAAUAGAACCUGAAACCAUUUGCUUACAAUCAUUCAGAGCACUAUGUAGCAAUACAGUGUGAUGGACUGCCUUUUGCAUAAUGAGCCUGCGAGUUGUGGUGUCUGGCAAGGUUAAGCAAACGCGAAGCCGUAGCGAAAGCGAGUCUGAAUAGGGCGCUUAGUCAGAUGCUGCAGACCCGAAACGAAGUGAUCUAUCCAUGAGCAAGUUGAAGCUAGUGUAAGAACUAGUGGAGGACUGAACCCAUAGGCGUUGAAAAGCCCCGGGAUGACUUGUGGAUAGGGGUGAAAGGCCAAUCAAACUUCGUGAUAGCUGGUUCUCUCCGAAAUAUAUUUAGGUAUAGCGUUGUGUCGUAAUAUAAGGGGGUAGAGCACUGAAUGGGCUAGGGCAUACACCAAUGUACCAAACCCUAUCAAACUCCGAAUACCUUAUAUGUAAUCACAGCAGUCAGGCGGCGAGUGAUAAAAUCCGUCGUCAAGAGGGAAACAACCCAGACUACCAGCUAAGGUCCCUAAAUCUUACUUAAGUGGAAAACGAUGUGAAGUUACUUAAACAACCAGGAGGUUGGCUUAGAAGCAGCCAUCCUUUAAAGAAAGCGUAAUAGCUCACUGGUCUAGUGAUUUUGCGCGGAAAAUAUAACGGGGCUAAAGU
rnacentral:rRNA from 1 species